UACAGAGGCCUCGAGCGUUAGGCGGAAUCACUGGGCUUAAAGCGUGUGUAGGCGGGCCGUUAAGUAUCUUGUGAAAUCCCCCGGCUCAACCGGGGAAUGGCUGGAUAUACUGGCGGUCUUGAGCGAUCUAGGGGCAGAUGGAACAAGUGGUGGAGCGGUGAAAUGCGUAGAUAUCACUUGGAACGCCAAAGGUGAAAACAGUCUGCUGGGGAUCUGCUGACGCUGAGACACGAAAGCCAGGGGAGCGAACGGG
rnacentral:rRNA from 1 species